GGAGUGUACCAUUCUGUCCCUCCUGAAGCCGUGCACUUGGUGGAAGAAGAUGACCAUCCCAGAUAGAAGUGUACCGUUCUUUGGUCAAGGGUAUACAAUACAUAAUUCUUUUAAUCUGAUAGAUGCCACAAAACUAAUUUUGAGCCUAAGCCUCCCCCAUCCCUUCAGAACAGGUUGCUAUUCAUU
rnacentral:sRNA from 1 species